rnacentral:sRNA from 1 species
UUUUUUAGGGAGAGAUUGUGCUACUGUACUCUUUUUUCCUUGUCAUGGUUUUUAUCCAAUAUAU